UACGUAGGCAGCAAGCGUUGUUCGGAAUUACUGGGCGUAAAGAGUGUGUAGGCGGUGCUCUAAGUUUGGUGUGAAAUCUCCCGGCUCAACUGGGAGGGUGCGCCGAAAACUGGAAUGCUUGAACGUGGGAGAGGAAAGCGGAAUUCCUGGUGUAGCGGUGAAAUGCGUAGAUAUCAGGAGGAACACCUGCGGUGUAGACGGCUUUCUGGACCAUUGUUGACGCUGAGACGCGAAAGCGUGGGUAGCAAACAGG
rnacentral:rRNA from 1 species